GCAUUUUUUGUCGAGGCGUUCAAUGGUUCCAAUAAAGUUAUUGGUAUUGACAGAAAAUAUUUAGGUCGUCAUAUGACUCAAAAUUGGCUUUUAUCUACAAUUUAAUGAACACUUAUAUAUUUCUCCUGCACACCAUUGGAAGGUUUCUUUUAAGAGUUUCGUUGAUGUUGACGUAAAUGUAAAAGUUAAUUCCAUAAUUAGAAAAUUGAAACAAAUACAGUAUUGCUUUGAUUAGCCCACGUUGUGCUGAUAUUAAUGUCGUUGUUGACGUGGUAAACGAAUCAACUGCAUUGAAAAUUG
rnacentral:lncRNA from 1 species